rnacentral:rRNA from 1 species
CUGGCUCAGAACGAACGCUGGCGGCGCGUUUAAGCAUGCAAGUCGAGCGGCAAGGGCCUUCGGGCCCCUAGAGCGGCGGACGGGUGAGUAACACGUGGACAAUCUGCCCCCCGGCCCGGGAUAGCCCAGGGAAACCUGGAUUAAUACCGGAUGAGACGGGACCCGCGAUGGCGGGAUCCGGGAAAGGCGCUGCGGCGCCGCCGGGGGAUGAGUCUGCGUCCCAUUAGCUAGACGGCGGGGUAACGGCCCACCGUGGCGACGAUGGGUAGCCGGCCUGAGAGGGUGGACGGCCACAUUGGAACUGAGACACGGUCCAGACUCCUACGGGAGGCAGCAGCUAAGAAUCUUCCGCAAUGGGCGAAAGCCUGACGGAGCGACGCCGCGUGAACGAAGAAGGCCGUGAGGUUGUAAAGUUCCUUUCGGGAGGGGGAACAACCGUGGCAGGGAAUGGCCGCGGGAUGACGUGAAUCCCGGAAUAAGCCCCGGCUAACUACGUGCCAGCAGCUGC